UAAUUUGUGAUGAAGAGGACAAGAGAUAUUAUGAACGGUUAUCAGAGAGGGAAGAAAAGGUGUGAUCUUCCUAACGCAGCGUAAUAGCUUACCACCUUGGAGCUGCAUGGGCGAAAUAUAAGUAGUUCAUGCCGUAGUGCUACGAUACAGCAAACCAAAGCCGUUACUUUAUCAAUGUAACGGGAAGUUGGGUGGAACCACGAGUACAGCACUCGUCCCUUUU
rnacentral:ncRNA from 1 species